rnacentral:rRNA from 1 species
AUUGAACGCUGGCGGCAGGCAUAACACAUGCAAGUCGAGCGAGCGGCGGACGGGUGAGUAAUGUCUGGGAAACUGCCUGAUGGAGGGGGAUAACUACUGGAAACGGUAGCUAAUACCGCAUACCAUCAGAUGUGCCCAGAUGGGAUUAGCUCGUAGGUGGGGUAACGGCUCACCUAGGCGACGAUCCGUAGCUGGUCUGAGAGGAUGACCAGCCACACUGGAACUGAGACACGGUCCAGACUACUACGGGAGGCAGCAGUGGGGAAUAUUGGACAAGGGGGGCAAGCCUGAUGCAGCCAGGCCGGGUGUAUGAAGAAGGCCUUCGGGUUGUAAAGUACUUUCAGCGGGUAGGCGGUACCCGCAGAAGAAGCACCGGCUAACUCCGUGGCAGCAGCCGCGGUAAUAC